rnacentral:rRNA from 1 species
CCUACGGGAGGCAGCAGUGGGGAAUAUUUGGCAAUGGAGGCAACUCUGACCCAGCAACGCCGCGUGAAUGAUGAAGGUCUUCGGAUUGUAAAGUUCUUUUCUAAGGGAAGAAGAAAGUGACGGUACCUUCGGAAUAAGCCUCGGCUAACUACGUGCCAGCAGCCGCGGUAAUACGUAGGAGGCAAGCGUUCUCUGGAAUGACUGGGCGGAAAGGGUGCGUAGGUGGUUUGACAAGUUGGUAGCGUAACUCCGGGGCUCAACUUCGGAACUACUACCAAAACUGUUGGACUCGAGUGCAGGAGGGGCAACUGGAAUGUCUAGUGUAGCGGUGGAAUGCGUAGAUAUUAGGAAGAACACCGGUGGCGAAGGCGAGUUGCUGGACUGUAACUGACACUGAGGCACGAAAGCGUGGGGAGCAAACAGGAUUAGAUACCCUGGUAGUC